rnacentral:rRNA from 1 species
CUACGGGAGGCACCAGUCGAGAAGCUUCCGCAAUGGGGGAAACCCUGACGGAGCGACGCCGCGUGAGCGAAGAAGGUCCUAUGGAUUGUAAAGCUCUGUCAGAUUGGGAAGAAAAGUCUACGGUUAAUACCCGUAGGCCUUGACGGUACCAUCAGAGGAAGCACCGGCUAACUCCGUGCCAGCAGCCGCGGUAAUACGGAGGGUGCAAGCGUUGUUCGGAUUCACUGGGUAUAAAGGGUGCGCAGGCGGCCUGAUAAGUCAGGGGUGAAAUAUGACGGCUCAACCGUCAAACUGCCCCUGAAACUGUCAGGCUUGAGUCCGGGAGAGGAAGGUGGGAUUCCUGGUGUAGCGGUGAAAUGCGUAAAUAUCAGGAGGAACACCGGUGGCGAAGGCGGCCUUCUGGCCCGGUACUGACGCUCAGGCACGAAAGCAUGGGGAGCGAACGGGAUUAGAUACCCUUGUAGUC